UACAGAGGUCCCAAGCGUUAUUCGGAUUCACUGGGCGUAAAGGGUGCGUAGGCGGUCGGGUAAGUCUGAUGUGAAAUCUCACAGCUUAACUGUGAAACUGCAUUGGAUACUAUCCGGCUCGAGGAAUGGAGGGGAGACUGGAAUACUUGGUGUAGCAGUGAAAUGCGUAGAUAUCAAGUGGAACACCAGUGGCGAAGGCGAGUCUCUGGACAUUUCCUGACGCUGAGGCACGAAAGCCAGGGGAGCAAACGGG
rnacentral:rRNA from 1 species